GGGAGACGUGGGAAGCGAUCUGUGCGCAGAGGAUGGGGCCCGAGGUGGAAGAUUGUCGCCGUGCUUUCUCAUCCUAAGGCCGAUUUUUGUUCCAUCUACAGUGGCUGAAGUUGACGUCUGACGACGUGAAGGAACAAAUUUACAAGUUGGCCAAGAAAGGCCUGACUCCUUCCCAGAUAGGUGUGAUUCUGAGGGACUCACAUGGUGUGGCACAGGUCCGUUUUGUGACCGGAAAUAAAAUCUUGAGAAUCCUUAAGUCCAAAGGCCUUGCCCCUGAUCUUCCUGAGGAUCUCUACCAUUUGAUCAAGAAAGCAGUUGCUGUCAGAAAGCACCUUGAGAGGAACAGAAAAGAUAAGGAUGCUAAAUUCCGCCUGAUUCUAAUUGAGAGCAGAAUUCACCGGCUGGCUCGAUACUAUAAGACUAAGCGGGUGCUCCCACCCAACUGGAAAUAUGAGUCAUCCACAGCCUCUGCUCUGGUGGCAUAAAUGCUGUUGCGUACACAAGCAAUAAAAUCACUUUGAGUAAA
rnacentral:lncRNA from 1 species